GCCCACGUAGCUCAGUAGGCAGAGCGUCGCCUUGGUAAGGCGGAGGUCACCAGUUCAAUCCUGGUCGUGGGCUCCA
rnacentral:tRNA from 1 species